rnacentral:lncRNA from 1 species
AAGGGUGUCGCUCCAUUGAAGCUCCUUGUAGAAUAUGUGGCAUUAUGUUUUUGACACAAUUUUUGGGCCGUUAAAUUACUCCACUUUCAAUGAUUGAGAUUGAACCUGACAUGACAAGUAGUUUUAAUUUUUUAAUUAGACAAUCAUUAAUUUUAUUUUCUCUCUCAUAAAAAUAAAAGAAACGAUUUCUCUCUCCUUCCUUUUUCUUAGUAAUCUCUCUUCUUUCUCACACG